CUUCCCUUCAGAGCUGUCCCACCCAAGUCUCAGCAGAUGUUCGUGUUUGUGCGAUGACCUUGUGGAGGAGGGCUGCAUCGGGGCAAAUUUGCUAAAAUGGUAGCAUAUACCUGGAACACAGAAGCUUUCUCCCUAACAGUUCUCUAGUGUCUUCCCACUUUUUUAGGGAACAAUAACAACAACAAAAAGUGUCUCAAUUUUGAGACCUCCUGGCAGAGAAGACCAAAUGAAUGGCCUUUCUCACGUCAUACUUUCCUUAAGACCUGCUUAACAUAAUUGAAAAUUACCCAAAGAUAACGUGGUAGACCAGAUCAGCAACGUGGGGAUGAUAGUGUUCUUAAGAAGUGGUCUCUGCGCCUGCCGCAGUUUCUGCUGAUCUGAAGCCACAUCGCUCAGCACGACUCCUACCUGUUUGGUUUUCUGGAGGGAGGUGGCACUCUCGGGAGUGACAUCAUGGUGUCUGACGGUUAGUGGUGUUAAGCUCUGGGAUGCCAUCAUUGCAGGAUCCAAUCCCAGGAUACCAUGAUUCAUCCUGUGUCCUUCUUUCCUUAUCUAAUCAGUGCUGAAAUGUGAGGUACCAUCCUCUCCGCCAUCUUCUACCCAUUUGCUUUGAUGAGAAUGACAUUGAAGCCCAGCUAUUUAAUGCACAUCUCAUGGGUUUGGGUCAAAUGGAACCCUAUCUGAGCAGACCUAGACCUCGGACACCUCGGACCCAGACCUCAGACACCUCAGACCCUACCUGAGCUACUUAAAAGGAGAUCUCAUCAUCCCUCCUGUUAAAAAAAAAAAAAAA